GGCGUAAAACGUUACGUGGAGCGUGUAAUGUGCAGUGAACCGAUUACCUUUAUGUCUUCCGACCUUAUACAGUUGAGUCAUGGCCUGUCAUCAAGUCCUGAGACUGAGAUUUUUGGUUAAAUCCCACAACCACCAGUACCCCUGUCCUAUUUUGGCAGCUUGUAAUGCCUGUGACGCAUUGGACACCAGCGGUGCCAAACCUUAACAAGGUGGGGAUGAAGUCAAGUCAUCAUGCCGCUUACUUCCAAUGCUUCACACGCACUACAAUGGCGCGUUACAAAGGAUUGCAAACUCGCUAGUGUCAGCUAAUCCCAAAAAACCUGUCUCAGUUCGCAUUGCAUUCUGCAACUCAACUGCAUUAAGUCGAAGUCGCUAGUAAUCUCACAUCAGCACUCUGCUAUAAAUACGUUCCCGGUUCUUGUACACACCUAAAGGCG
rnacentral:rRNA from 1 species